rnacentral:rRNA from 1 species
GACGAACGCUGGCGGCGUGCUUAACACGUGCAAGUCGAACGGAAAGGCCCUGCUUUUGUGGGGUGCUCGAGUGGCGAACGGGUGAGUAACACGUGAGUAACCUGCCCUUGACUUUGGGAUAACUUCAGGAAACUGGGGCUAAUACCGGAUAGGAGCUCCUGCUGCACGGUGGGGGUUGGAAAGUUUCGGCGGUUGGGGAUGGACUCGCGGCUUAUCAGCUUGUUGGUGGGGUAGUGGCUUACCAAGGCUUUGACGGGUAGCCGGCCUGAGAGGGUGACCGGCCACAUUGGGACUGAGAUACGGCCCAGACUCCUACGGGAGGCAGCAGUGGGGAAUAUUGCACAAUGGGCGGAAGCCUGAUGCAGCAACGCCGCGUGCGGGAUGACGGCCUUCGGGUUGUAAACCGCUUUCGCCUGUGACGAAGCGUGAGUGACGGUAAUGGGUAAAGAAGCACCGGCUAACUACGUG